rnacentral:lncRNA from 1 species
CCUUGCGCAAGGUGGCGCCCGUCCAGUGCCCCAGGGGUUUUGGUAGUUGGAGGGCGGGCUUCUCUGCUCAGCGCAGCUCUGCGGCUGGGCAGGCCUCCCUGAGAGAAGCCGCCCGGCUGGCCGCCUGCCCCACCCGCUGGGGACCCCUGCAGACCAGGCUGGGAAUUGCAGCGCUCUGCUUGGCCACCCGCUGGGCACUCACGUCUCCCGGUGACAAACACGCGUGAUCCUGCCCGCGUGGCAGGGUCGCGUGUCCCACGCGUCGACGCUGCUUAGUUCCCUUUCCGCUGUGCGCCCCGCCCGCCCACGGACGCCCCAGAUCCUCUCGGAGAGGAGGUGGCCGGGAGAGGUGUCACGGAGGGGCCUGGCUCCUCCUCCACACCCCCAGGACGCUGAAGGAGCGACUACCCUCUAAGCGCCGUCCCGAGACCCUGGAAAGGCCCGGGGAAAGUCCUCGAGUCUGGAGCAUCCCAGAAGCGUGAAGGAGAAGGUGCAGGACACGGAGAGAAACCUCCAGGGCCUGAAGGGGCAGAGAAAAGGUGCUUCAGCCUCCUCACCGGGUGACUCUGUUGGGGACAGGACCUGCAGGACCUACAGCAAACGAGGGACGGCGCUUCCUGCCCGCCUGCUGGCUCCCGGUGUUUGAUGUCCUGGUCUUUGGAGAGCGAGCGCUUGCCGACAGCAUUCUGGAGUUCGUGGAUGUCUUGACAGCCCUGGAAGAGCAGCAGCAGUAUCUGGGAGAAGAAGGACCCUUGCUCAUGCUGAAGGACAAGGUGGAGGCCGUCCUGGAGGAGAAGUGGGGUGUGCAGACCAGCAAUCCUAGGACACGGGCCAUCUUUGUCCGCUGCCUCGCUGUCUCCAGGCUGCUGCAGCCGGGGAAGCAGCCCACCGCCUCCUAA